UACGUAGGGCGCAAGCGUUAUCCGGAAUUAUUGGGCGUAAAGAGCUCGUAGGCGGUUUGUCGCGUCUGCCGUGAAAGUCCGGGGCUCAACUCCGGAUCUGCGGUGGGUACGGGCAGACUAGAGUGAUGUAGGGGAGACUGGAAUUCCUGGUGUAGCGGUGAAAUGCGCAGAUAUCAGGAGGAACACCGAUGGCGAAGGCAGGUCUCUGGGCCAUUACUGACACUGAGGCGCGACAGCGUGGGGAGCAAACAGG
rnacentral:rRNA from 1 species